rnacentral:rRNA from 1 species
AGGACGAACGCUGGCAGCGUGCUUAACACAUGCAAGUCGAGCGGUAAGGCCUUUCGGGGUACACGAGCGGCGAACGGGUGAGUAACACGUGGGUGAUCUGCCCUGCACUCUGGGAUAAGCCUGGGAAACUGGGUCUAAUACCGGAUAUGACCUGCUCUCGCAUGGGGGGUGGGUGGAAAGAUUUAUCGGUGCAGGAUGGGCCCGCGGCCUAUCAGCUUGUUGGUGGGGUAAUGGGCCUACCAAGGCGACGACGGGUAGCCCGACCUGAGAGGGUGACCGGGCCACACUGGGACUGGAGACACGGCCCAGACUCCU